CUCACUUCACCAGCACCGCCCGCGCCUGCUUUCAUCGUGGGUCCGCGCGUGCUCCAGCUCCAUGGCGCUCCUCAUGCGACUGCUGACCCUCGCUCUGGCACUGUCUGUGGGCCCCGCUGGGACCCUUGCAGGUCCCGCCAAGUCACCCUACCAGCUGGUGCUGCAGCAUAGCCGGCUCCGGGGUCGCCAGCACGGCCCCAAUGUAUGUGCUGUGCAGAAGGUCAUUGGCACCAACAAGAAAUACUUCACCAACUGCAAGCAGUGGUACCAGAGGAAGAUCUGCGGCAAGUCGACAGUCAUCAGUUAUGAGUGCUGUCCUGGAUAUGAAAAGGUCCCAGGAGAGAAAGGUUGCCCAGCAGCUCUUCCGCUCUCAAAUCUGUAUGAGACCAUGGGAGUUGUGGGAUCGACCACCACACAGCUGUAUACAGACCGCACAGAAAAGCUGAGGCCUGAGAUGGAGGGACCCGGAAGCUUCACCAUCUUUGCUCCUAGCAAUGAGGCCUGGUCUUCCUUGCCUGCGGAAGUGCUGGACUCCCUGGUGAGCAACGUCAACAUCGAACUGCUCAAUGCUCUCCGCUACCACAUGGUGGACAGGCGGGUCCUGACCGAUGAGCUCAAGCACGGCAUGACCCUCACCUCCAUGUACCAGAAUUCCAACAUCCAGAUCCAUCACUAUCCCAAUGGGAUUGUAACUGUUAACUGUGCCCGGCUGCUGAAGGCUGACCACCAUGCGACCAACGGCGUGGUGCAUCUCAUUGACAAGGUCAUUUCCACCAUCACCAACAACAUCCAGCAGAUCAUUGAAAUCGAGGACACCUUUGAGACACUUCGGGCCGCCGUGGCUGCAUCAGGACUCAAUACCGUGCUGGAGGGCGACGGCCAGUUCACACUCUUGGCCCCAACCAACGAGGCCUUUGAGAAGAUCCCUGCCGAGACCUUGAACCGCAUCCUGGGUGACCCAGAGGCACUGAGAGACCUGCUAAACAACCACAUCCUGAAGUCAGCCAUGUGUGCUGAGGCCAUUGUAGCUGGAAUGUCCAUGGAGACCCUGGGGGGCACCACACUGGAGGUGGGCUGCAGUGGGGACAAGCUCACCAUCAACGGGAAGGCUGUCAUCUCCAACAAAGACAUCCUGGCCACCAACGGUGUCAUUCAUUUCAUUGAUGAGCUGCUUAUCCCAGAUUCAGCCAAGACACUGCUUGAGCUGGCUGGGGAAUCUGACGUCUCCACUGCCAUUGACAUCCUCAAACAAGCUGGCCUCGAUACUCAUCUCUCUGGGAAAGAACAGUUGACCUUCCUGGCCCCCCUGAAUUCUGUGUUCAAAGAUGGUGUCCCUCGCAUCGACGCCCAGAUGAAGACUUUGCUUCUGAACCACAUGGUCAAAGAACAGUUGGCCUCCAAGUAUCUGUACUCUGGACAGACACUGGACACGCUGGGUGGCAAAAAGCUGCGAGUCUUUGUUUAUCGAAAUAGCCUCUGCAUUGAAAACAGCUGCAUUGCUGCCCAUGAUAAGAGGGGACGGUUUGGGACCCUGUUCACCAUGGACCGGAUGUUGACACCCCCAAUGGGGACAGUUAUGGAUGUCCUGAAGGGAGACAAUCGUUUUAGCAUGCUGGUGGCCGCCAUCCAGUCUGCAGGACUCAUGGAGAUCCUCAACCGGGAAGGGGUCUACACUGUUUUUGCUCCCACCAAUGAAGCGUUCCAAGCCAUGCCUCCAGAAGAACUGAACAAACUCUUGGCAAAUGCCAAGGAACUUACCAACAUCCUGAAGUACCACAUUGGUGAUGAAAUCCUGGUUAGCGGAGGCAUCGGGGCCCUGGUGCGGCUGAAGUCUCUCCAAGGGGACAAACUGGAAGUCAGCUCGAAAAACAAUGUAGUGAGUGUCAAUAAGGAGCCUGUUGCCGAAACCGACAUCAUGGCCACAAACGGUGUGGUCUAUGCCAUCAACACUGUUCUGCAGCCGCCAGGCUGUUUUUCCUUUCUCUCUAGCCAACCGACCACAAGAACGAGGAGAUGAGCUGGCAGACUCUGCCCUUGAAAUCUUCAAACAGGCGUCAGCGUAUUCCAGGGCUGCCCAGAGGUCUGUGCGACUUGCCCCUGUCUAUCAGCGGUUACUGGAGAGGAUGAAGCAUUAGCAGGAAGACCGAGGAGGAGAGCCCUGCAGCAGCUUCCCGCCAGUUUCUCUCAGUUUGCCAAAGAGACCAUUGAAUGUUUUUGAAACCAAAGAGCACACUUCAACAUACAUGGGCUGCACCAUAUUGAGAUCUGAGCCUUGGACGGGUAGGGAAGGGGUUAAGGGGAGAAAGGUUCUUUUUAGCUUUCGAUCCCUCCAAACGUGGUUGUUAACCCAUUGAAUAUACAGAUCUGGCAGUCAUAGCUUGGCACCAAAUUCCCGAAAGGACCUCUCGAAAGCAUGGAAUUUCCUGACUGUGCCAAGGGCCUGGAUAAAGGGGAACUACGGCAUCUUGGAGCUCACAAAUGUGAAUCAAGCAGUCCGGCAUUCUGGAAAGCCUUGGCAUGGUUCUGUAAAGCUCUUGUACCGCUGGAGAAACGGCAUCACUAUAAGCUAUGAGUUGAACUGUUUCUGUCAAGUAUGUCUUGUGUCCACACAUGGUUUGGAUGCUUCUAUAUUGGCCCUGCCCAGGUAGAAAGGGUAAGAAGAACAUGUAGAAUCCAGAUUCCCUGAGUGUGAGGGACCCAUGGUGCAUUUGUAAUAAUAAAACCAAAGAAACAAACA